rnacentral:rRNA from 1 species
GUGGCCUUGCGGCGUGCUAUAAUGCAGUCGAGCGGACGGAUGGGAGCUUGCUCCCUGAAGUCAGCGGCGGACGGGUGAGUAACACGUGGGCAACCUGCCUGUAAGACUGGGAUAACUUCGGGAAACCGGAGCUAAUACCUGAUAAUGCUUCACCUCUCCUGAGGCAAUUCCGAACGGAGGUUUCGGCUAUCACUUACAGGGUGGCCCAUG